GUAUUUCCGCCGGCGCGAAACGAGCGUAGCUUCCUUGUCGUGUGGCCUCAGUCCUUCGCCGUCCCUCGCCGUCCUUCGCCAUCGCACGCCACCGCACCCCAUCUCUCGAAAUCUGCAGACAUCUUGAUUUUUCCCACGCUGUCUGUCAGGUCUCCGCCGCCACUCGACGCCAGGGCGCCGGGCCUUGUGGGCUGUGCUGCACCUCGGACGGCUUCGCACCAGCCAGCGCCCUCUCUCUCCUGCAGCACUCUGAUCUGCACCCCCUGAGGGGCUUCCACUGUCCGCGGGGUGAGAAUGCCCCUGGGAGUGUCACAUGACUGCCGCCCCAUGUGUGUGAGAGGCGUCCUCUGGGAGAGCAUGGAUCCUGAGGUCCCAGGAACAUCCCGAGAGCCAAGUUCCCAGAUGCCAGCCAAGGGCCAUCUGACCUGUUUUGAAUCUCAAUUUCCUGAUACAGAAAACAAAGGAUUGUCAGCUGACCUCUGUCCUGUGUGCCCAGUGGCCCCAGGUGACGUGUCUUCAAGAAGAGGCUGAGCUGCGGUGCUUGUAAGGUCUCAGCCUUAGAUCCAAGGACAGUCCAAGGAAGUCCUAAGACCAUGGAGUUGGUGAUCUGGGAUCUGGGUUUGCUGAUAUUUCUCACCGUGAAUCUCUUGGUGGUGUUUGUGGGCACGAGAGGGGCAGAGAAUGGAGAGUGAGGCUACCACAUGAAGCGUCACCAGAGCUGCUCCCUGCUGCCUGCUCAGAGCACCCCGGAUCCACUGUUCAAUCUGCACAAGAUUCGGGGUCCAGACAUGGGAGACUUCAGCUGCCUCAGAGGACCGUGGACAGGGAAGGCCAGCCUCGCAUCCCUCUGUCCAUGCCUGGAAUGACUUUAAUAACCAAGAGUUUUAUUUUUGAAUUUGUAGCUGUCGUUCACUUUUUACCCACCCAUUCAAUAAACCUUACAGAAUUGCUCCA
rnacentral:sRNA from 1 species